AGAGUUUGUACCUGGCCAGUAAUCGGGCGAGCAGUUGCGGAUCUACAUUCCCUUCAAACAGAUUAUGAAGUUGCAUUUAGUUCGUGAUCUUCAAAGGCACCAAGGAACAAGUGAGAUUUGUACUUCAAUAUAAACUAUUUGGGUAGAGUGAAGACUCUACAAAGGUAGAUGCAAAGAGGAUUGCUGGGGUAGCUAGGAACUAGAGUGGUAGACUUAGUUUGUUAGUUCUGGAUGCUAUAAUCCUUGUGAAUAAAUGGUGGUUGAUGUUUUUGUUAAUUUAUUAUCAUUAGUUAUUUCGUGGGCCUAUGUGAACUGGAUGAAAAUAGUGAUUUUAUUGACGGAAACUACAGCGGGCCAGCAUGAACCAUUUUAUUCCACUCGAGAAACCAAAAGUAAAACUUUACAAGGAAAAAAAGAAAAAUGGAGAGGGAUGUACAAGUUACAAUUAUACCGGGGGAAGUUACAGUGCAGGGGCGAGGCGAGCUAACAUGAUGCUCCAGUCUAUUAAAAUCGUCCUUUUUGUGACAACGGCAAGACCAACGAGAGAGAAUGAUAAAGGCAUCUUCUUCGGCG
rnacentral:lncRNA from 1 species